rnacentral:rRNA from 1 species
GAUGAACGCUGGCGGCGUGCCUAAUACAUGCAAGUCGAGCGAACAGACGAGGAGCUUGCUCCUCUGACGUUAGCGGCGGACGGGUGAGUAACACGUGGAUAACCGACCGAUAAGACUGGGAUAAGGUCGGGAAAGCGGAGAUAACACAGGAUAAGAGAUUGAACGGCAGGGAUCAAUAGAGAAAGAGGGAUUUGAUGAGACUAAGAGAUGGAACCGAGCCGCAUUAGCUAGUUGGUAAGGUAACGGCUUACCAAGGCAACGAGGCGUAGCCGACCUGAGAGGAUGAUCGGCCACACUGGAACUGAGACACGGUCCAGACUCCUACGGGAGGCAGCAGUAGGGAAUCUUCCGCAAUGGGCGAAAGCCUGACGGAGCAACGCCGCGUGAGUGAUGAAGGUCUUCGGAUCGUAAAACUCUUUUAGUAGGGAGGAACAAAUGUGUAUGUAACUCUUCCCGUCUUGACGGUACCUACUCAGAAAGCCCCGGCUAACUACGUG